UACGUAAGGGGCAAGCGUUGUCCGGAAUCAUUGGGCGUAAAGCGCGCGUAGGCGGCCCGGUAAGUCCGCUGUGAAAGUCAAAGGCUCAACCUUUGAAGUGUCAGCGGAUACUGCCGGGCAUAGAGUCCGGAAGAGGCGAGUGGGAACUCCUGGUGUAGCGGUGGAAUGCGCAGAUAUCAGGAAGAACACCAACGGCGAAGGCAGCUCGCUGGGACGGAACUGACGCUGAGGCGCGAAAGCGUGGGGAGCGAACAGG
rnacentral:rRNA from 1 species